UACGUAGGGUGCGAGCGUUGUCCGGAAUUAUUGGGCGUAAAGGGCGCGUAGGCGGCCUGGCAAGUGGAAGGUGAAAUCCCUCGGCUUAACCGAGGAACUGCCCUCCAAACUGCUUGGCUUGAGUCCGGGGGAGGUGAGUGGAAUUCCCAGUGUAGCGGUGAAAUGCGUAGAUAUUGGGAGGAACACCAGUGGCGAAGGCGGCUCACUGGACCGGUACUGACGCUGAGUGCGCGAAAAGCGUGGGGAGCAAACGGGG
rnacentral:rRNA from 1 species